UUCUCUAAUUAUCAGUAAUGUACAAAGAGAGGACUCGGGGGUUUAUUACUGUGGCCUCUUUUCCUUUAUGUAUCUACAGCCCAACUUCGGGAAUGGGACCAGAGUAAUUGUCACAGAUGCCUCCGAGCCGAGUCUUUCCAUCCUGGUACCCUCUGUCCUGGAGGAUGCUGAGCUUCCCCGCAUCAUUCCUCUGCUCUGCCUGCUCUCUGAUUUCACUCCUCCCUGGAGUGCUGUUCUCUGGGGCACUGGGGAGGAGGCGUCUGAGGGUCUGAUGGAUGCUGGAGCCAUAGACGGGAACGGGGUCUUUAGUGUUUGGAGCCUAACGACAAUCCCGUCUGAGACAUGGAACCAGGAGACAAUCUACAAUUGCACAGCCAAGGAGAGCAGCACGGGGAGAAGCAUCAAUGUUACAGUCUCCAGGGAAACAGAGAGAAGAGACGCUGGAGACUGUGGGAUUGUGUUCUACGCUGGGCUGCCCUGUAUUUUCAGCCUUCUCCUGAUCCAGCUGUUGAUCUUGCUCUGGAGAAAGUGCCCCGUCAGAGGGAGAGCUGUGCAAAGACAGAAGGAAAUACCUAUGAGGCAGAUCCCACAGACUGAAUAUGCAGCUCUGACGUACAACAGAAAUGCUCCUCGGUGACUGAUGCAGUCUCACAAAAGUGGUUUAUAUUUUUUAAAAACAAGAGAUGCAAAAAGAAAGAACGAAAGAGAAAGCGAGAGAACUAUGGAAAGCCUCAUGUUUGUAAUGUGCUAUGAUGUGAUGUGAGUUUGUUUUAAAUACAACCACUUCCAUAGUCAUUUCUCUUAACACCUAUUGUGGGUAGAGAUCUCCAUUCUUGCAAAAAGCCACGUCAUUGGUGAAUUGCCUGCAGGUUUGUGGGACAUUAGAUUUACAUCUCAUCUCAAACAUGUCACUUCCUGCACCAUAAUGCCCUAUCUCAGAGCUCACUCACCCCUAGGGCGCCUCCUCCUGGCUGCUCAAGGGAUUGGCUCCUUCCAGCUCUGACACCCCCUUCCAUCAGCUCACUCUCACUCCAGCCCCACUCGCUCCUUUGGACUCUGCACCUUUCCUCUUCAUGCCUUCGCCCUCUGGCCAGGUCACUGUGUGUUUCCUCCCCUCCCAGGGUAUCAAAGUGCCACAGAACUAACUGUCUCAGGCAGUCCCCAAACCCACUGCCCUGACUGUGCCACUUCCCCCGUGGCUGGUAGGGAACCCCAGGCCCACCCGCAACUCCUGGGUCCAGCUCAUAGACCCUCAAAUCAGCAGCCAAAGUCUGCAACAUCCCACCUUGCUGGGGCUUUCCUGAAUGUUUUCCUCCUCUGCCUCUCACCACACCCCCACCCUCGUGGGUAAACCCUUCCUUCAGGACCUGGAUCCUCAGGGUUUCUCCUCUGCCUCUGGGUUUCUUCCUUUCCCUCUCUAAUGCCCAGAGUGUGACGGUAUGUCUACAUUGACAAGUUUCUAUGCAACAAGUUAUACCA